GUUGAACGCUGGCGGCAGGCUUAACACAUGCAAGUCGAGCGGGGUGAUGGUGCUUGCACUAUCACUUAGCGGCGGACGGGUGAGUAAUGCUUAGGAAUCUGCCUAUUAGUGGGGGACAACAUCUCGAAAGGGAUGCUAAUACCGCAUACGUCCUACGGGAGAAAGCAGGGGAUCUUUAUGACCUUGCGCUAAUAGAUGAGCCUAAGUCGGAUUAGCUAGUUGGUGGGGUAAAGGCCUACCAAGGCGACGAUCUGUAGCGGGUCUGAGAGGAUGAUCCGCCACACUGGGACUGAGACACGGCCCAGACUCCUACGGGAGGCAGCAGUGGGGAAUAUUGGACAAUGGGGGGAACCCUGAUCCAGCCAUGCCGCGUGUGUGAAGAAGGCCUUAUGGUUGUAAAGCACUUUAAGCGAGGAGGAGGCUACUUUAGUUAAUACCUAGGGAUAGUGGACGUUACUCGCAGAAUAAGCACCGGCUAACUCUGUGCCAGCAGCCGCCGUAA
rnacentral:rRNA from 1 species